AUUGAACGCUGGCGGCAGGCCUAACACAUGCAAGUCGAACGAGUGGCGGACGGGUGAGUAAUGUCUGGGAAACUGCCUGAUGGAGGGGGAUAACUACUGGAAACGGUAGCUAAUACCGCAUACUAUCGGAUGUGCCCAUAUGGGAUUAGCUAGUAGGUGGGGUAACGGCUCACCUAGGCGACGAUCCCUAGCUGGGCUGAGAGGAUGACCAGCCAAACUGGGACUGAGACACGGCCCAGACUCCUACGCGAGGCAGCAGUGGGGAAGAUUGCACAAUGGGCGCAAGCCUGAUGCAGCCAUGCCGCGUGUAUGAAGAAGGCCUUCGGGUUGUAAAGUACUUUCAGCGGGGAGGCGUUACCCGCAGAAGAAGCACCGGCUAACUCCGUGCCAGCAGCCGCGGUAAUAG
rnacentral:rRNA from 1 species